rnacentral:rRNA from 1 species
AGAUUAAGUUAUUAAGGGCGCACGGUGGAUGCCUUGGCACUAGAAGCCGAUGAAGGACGUUACUAACGACGAUAUGCUUUGGGUAGCUGUAAGUAAGCGUUGAUCCAGAGAUUUCCGAAUGGGGGAACCCAGCAUGAGUUAUGUCAUGUUAUCGACAUGUGAAUUCAUAGCAUGUCAGAAGGCAGACCCGGAGAACUGAAACAUCUUAGUACCCGGAGGAAGAGAAAGAAAAAUCGAUUCCCUGAGUAGCGGCGAGCGAAACGGGAAGAGCCCAAACCAACAAGCUUGCUUGUUGGGGUUGUAGGACACUCUAUACGGAGUUACAAAAGAACAUGUUAGACGAAUCAUCUGGAAAGAUGAAUCAAAGAAGGUAAUAAUCCUGUAGUCGAAAACAUAUUCUCUCUUGAGUGGAUCCUGAGUACGACGGAGCACGUGAAAUUCCGUCGGAAUCUGGGAGGACCAUCUCCUAAGGCUAAAUACUCUCUAGUGACCGAUAGUGAACCAGUACCGUGAGGGAAAGGUGAAAAGUACCCCGGAAGGGGAGUGAAAGAGAACUUGAAACCGUGUGCUUACAAGUAGUCAGAGCCCGUUAAUGGGUGAUGGCGUGCCUUUUGUAGAAUGAACCGGCGAGUUACGAUCUGAUGCAAGGUUAAGCAGCAAAUGUGGAGCCGCAGCGAAAGCGAGUCUGAAUAGGGCGUUGAGUAUUUGGUCGUAGACCCGAAACCAGGUGAUCUACCCUUGGUCAGGUUGAAGUUCAGGUAACACUGAAUGGAGGACCGAACCGACUUACGUUGAAAAGUGAGCGGAUGAACUGAGGGUAGCGGAGAAAUUCCAAUCGAACUUGGAGAUAGCUGGUUCUCUCCGAAAUAGCUUUAGGGCUAGCCUCAAGUGAUGAUUAUUGGAGGUAGAGCACUGUUUGGACGAGGGGCCCCUCUCGGGUUACCGAAUUCAGACAAACUCCGAAUGCCAAUUAAUUUAACUUGGGAGUCAGAACAUGGGUGAUAAGGUCCGUGUUCGAAAGGGAAACAGCCCAGACCACCAGCUAAGGUCCCAAAAUAUAUGUUAAGUGGAAAAGGAUGUGGCGUUGCCCAGACAACUAGGAUGUUGGCUUAGAAGCAGCCAUCAUUUAAAGAGUGCGUAAUAGCUCACUAGUCGAGUGACACUGCGCCGAAAAUGUACCGGGGCUAAACAUAUUACCGAAGCUGUGGAUUGUCCUUUGGACAAUGGUAGGAGAGCGUUCUAAGGGCGUCGAAGCAUGAUCGCAAGGACAUGUGGAGCGCUUAGAAGUGAGAAUGCCGGUGUGAGUAGCGAAAGACGGGUGAGAAUCCCGUCCACCGAUUGACUAAGGUUUCCAGAGGAAGGCUCGUCCGCUCUGGGUUAGUCGG